rnacentral:lncRNA from 1 species
UGACAUCUUGGCAGGUCACACCCAUCUCAUUGAUGGGUGCUGUUGCUGUGUGGGUCCUGGCAGAGCGGGAAGAGAUUCACAUUGUCCCUGGGCAUUGACCAGAGGAAAUGUCCACUGGCCAUUCCCAGACACCAGAUGUCCCUAUCCAUGAGGCUUCCAUGCUCGGUGACCCACAUGCAACCCAUGGCUCAUGGCACAAGUUCUCCGGGGAAUUUUCUCGAUAGUGCCAUUAUGACUACAUCUUCUCUCCCUCUCCAAAUAUUCCACUCUGGGAGGGUUAAUCCACAAAGGUGUUUGUGAAGUGUGAGUGAAGCAUGAUUAGCUGCAAAACUGAAUUUUGUAUCCAUUAGCCUGUGGUAUGCUGCGUGGACUGUCUCUAGUCUAGCGAGGAGGUCCACGGAACAGGGUAGAGGAGAGUGUGGCUGCAGAGUCACUAAUCAAGACCUCCGGAGACCAAGCAGGAAGCAGGUCUGAUUUUAUUGCGUAGUUACCAUGUAUAUAUACUCAGGCGGGAGCUAAGCAGAUUACAGGCAGCCACCAAUGCAAUUUCUGCUAACUGUCCUUGCAGUGACCACUCAAGGAAUGGGCCAUGGAGCAAACGCAGGGACUGCAACACCUGGCCUCACACCCAGGGCUGUGGCUUCGGGGUAAGUGGCCUGCCACUCAUGCUCUUAGCACGAGGGGAGUGGCCUGCUACUCAGACGCCCUUAAUGUGUGCUAUGUAUGUAGUACUCCAUGCACUUGUUCCUCACAGUAUACAGUGUUCUUCUCCAGAUCUGUGAUGGCAAAGGGUUUUAGUCACUCGAUUUGAUGGCCUCGUCUCUGUGGUGUCAAUCACCUACCUGCCUCUAGAACAGACACCUCCUGGAACUGAAAGCAUCUCUGAUCCACUAAUGGCAUCUUCCUAUGAAGUUGGGUGCAGAUUUCCAUAAAGAUAUGAUCAAAUGAUUGUAUUUUAUACUGUGAAUAGAAAUAAACCUGAGCAUUGGAUAAAGAACAAACCAUAGGUACAAAUGGAGUUUUGACCCACAACCUGCAAGCAACUUGCCUAAGAAAGCAAGCCCUCAUCUACAACAACGUAGGCAGCCACUCUGCUCAUAAGUCAGACCUGCAGGAAGCCAGGUGGCUAUCUCUGUGGCAAUCUUAGAAGCUAAACAAGUGCUAUAAGCCUUUGGCCAGGAUUUAACUGACAGUUUUCCUAAUCUUUGCCCCUGCUUUCCAUUUAGGACCAACUUAGAGACAGCCAAAUAUGAAUCUCUAAUCAAUCAAAUAGGGUGUCCCCAUUCCUAAUCACCAGCCUGUGCCUUCCUCAGGCCAAUAGCCUCCAACCAGGGCACACCUGACUGUUCUUGCUCCUCAGCUUGCUUUUGAGGUUCUGACCAAAUGCAAGUGGAGGUGCUUGCUCCUUUCCUACAGCAAGCUCAG